UAGUAAGCUCAGGCUCAUUCAUCGGAGACACACCAUGUUCAAUGCCCUCUCACAGCUUCCUACCGCCAGCGUCCCGCGCUCGGUUGCGGCUGCGCGGGUGAACAACGUGCAAAGUCCGGUCAGUUUUUAUUUUGGGUAUUGGUUUAGCCACUGGCGCGCCUGAUACCCAACCGGCGCCCACUUCAACGGGUCGCCUGCCAGAGUUUCCAAACCCCCGGUCGGCCUCCCGACCGGGGG
rnacentral:sRNA from 1 species